rnacentral:lncRNA from 1 species
UGGAGGUUGCUUCUGGCUCAUCAGCCAUCGUUGAUGUGCCACAGACCUGAGGGCACAUGACCCAGGAAUGUGCAUCCAAAGAUAAUACUACCUUCAGAGAACUCUACUUAUAGGUAAGUAACUCUCCUUUAUAGGAGGUAUCUUUGUGUGGCAGACUGUUUAUGCGAGCAAUUUGAAUUGAACUUUAAAUGAAAAAGGCAUAUCUCUGUAAGUGGUAAUAAUUUUAGUCAUCUCACUGUGGCUAGGGGUUGUGGAAUUCAUUAGCACAGAUUAACAUAUAAAGUGGGUGAGAUAUCUAAUAGCAAACGGAGAGGUUUAGGGGCCUUAAUUCAUCACUGAAUGAACAGCGUGUACAGUAUUAGGGACUAUGAAAUUUUUAAUUUACACAAAGUGUCCAAGAAUAUAGGGAAUAAAUUUAAACCCAAAACAGAUAAUGGAGCUAUGCCCUACCUGGCUGGCAAGUUGAAUUGUUUUUACACUGAGUGAAGAAAGCUAAUUAUCCCAAGCACAAGGAGACUGCUAAAAAUAAUAAGAUUAUAAGGAAUAAUUUGCUGAUAUAAUUACAACAAAA